AAGCCCUUACGGGACGCAGCAGUGAGGAAUAUUGGUCAAUGGGCGAGAGCCUGAACCAGCCAAGCCGCGUGAGGGAAGACGGCCCUAUGGGUUGUAAACCUCUUUUGUCGGAGAACAAAACCCGGGACAUGUCCCGGACUGCGUGUAUCCGAAGAAAAAGCAUCGGCUAACUCCGUGCCAGCAGCCGCGGUAAUACGGAGGAUGCGAGCGUUAUCCGGAUUUAUUGGGUUUAAAGGGUGCGUAGGCGGAAUGCCAAGUCAGCGGUAAAAUCGCGGGGCUCAACCUCGCUCCGCCGUUGAAACUGG
rnacentral:rRNA from 1 species